UUUUUGUCUUUCAGCCUUGUCGGUCCUCCAGUUGGGAGCAAAUUCAUAGGCUGGCCUCCACUCUCUAAAGUGUCCACCCCUGUCAGAAGUUCCUCUCAACAGCUGUGUUGUGGCACAGUGUAUGCUUCAUCUCUUACUGAAAGUCAGCUGGAUGCCGUCUGUGUAAACCUGUAAGGACCGAUGCUGAAGGCACAAUUUUACUGGCAAGAAUGAAAAAGGAACAAGAAUGAUCCUUACCUGGAUGGCUUUCCUGUGAGCCUGUCACUCGUGUAGAUUCAAUAAGACUCUAUUUCCUUCCUCAAAUUAUCUGUUAAAAAAGAAUAUUCAGUGAUACUGGAUAAAGCAUGCUAGGAGUACCUUCUUCAGGACCAUCAUGGAAAGGGAAGUACACAAAUGGCCUAGAAGGAUCAGAAUAAUAUUUGGUUGAACAGAAUUUUGUCACAUUUUCAAGAAUCAGAUGAAAAGAAGAAAGCAUAUACACUGAGGAUGCAGAAACAGAAGUCCCAUGCUAAGUAAAGG
rnacentral:lncRNA from 1 species